AACGAACGCUGGCGGCAGGCCUAACACAUGCAAGUCGAACGCCCCGCAAGGGGAGUGGCAGACGGGUGAGUAACACGUGGGAACGUACCCUUUGGUUCGGAAUAACUUGGGGAAACUCAAGCUAAUACCGGAUAAGCCCUUAUGGGGAAAGGUUUACUGCCGAAGGAUCAGCCCGCGUCUGAUUAGCUAGUUGGUGAGGUAAUGGCUCACCAAGGCGACGAUCAGUAGCUGGUCUGAGAGGAUGAUCAGCCACACUGGGACUGAGACACGGCCCAGACUCCUACGGGAGGCAGCAGUGGGGAAUAUUGGACAAUGGGGGCAACCCUGAUCCAGCCAUGCCGCGUGAGUGAUGAAGGCCUUAGGGUUGUAAAGCUCUUUUACCCGGGACGAUAAUGACUGUACCGGGAGAAUAAGCCCCGGCUAACUUCGUGCCAGCAGCCGCUGUAA
rnacentral:rRNA from 1 species